rnacentral:lncRNA from 1 species
CGUUCCGCAUGCACCACCAGCUUGGCUGCUAAAUCCUGUUGAGCCACAUAGGUAUAGGUGACGGUUGGGGCAGUCGUGCAUGUAACAGUGCCUGCUCCGGCAUUGCGCAGUGGGAGGGAGCAUCACGGCGCUUGGACCCGACGUGACCCCAUCUUACCUUGACCUUCUUCACAGAGCUCGCACGGUUGAUGCUAGCCUGCUGGAUGCGCGCUGCGAGCUCCUGCACUCAGCAAAGCGUGCAGGUAAGCUGCCUCGUUGCAAUGGGGCGCGCCGUGCCAGGCAAAACGGCGUUGCUGGCGGGGCGGGAGUUGCGUCGAAGGAGGCCCCCUGAAGUUGGCACCCUGUGCGCGACAACCGACCUGCGCUUUCGUUGCGCUGCUACCGCCAGUAUCCACUCGAGGUUCUAUUUUGGGUUCCACUCGCUUUGGAGACCCGGUAGCGGGCUUCGGAAGCGGCGGUGCAGGGAAGAUGGACUUCGGUCCUGGCGAGCCCACUUGGCGGGGCUUCACGCCCUGGGAAGGGAAAAGUGGCUGCAUAGUGGCACUGGAAUUACAGACUGCUACAACUGGGUCCUAAUCGACAAAAUUUCGCCCCAAGUUCACAGUUCCUGGUCAACGGGGCCUAACCCUAUUCAUGCUCUCAAGGUGCAAAUUUAUAUGCUACGAUAGCGCUGUCUAUUUCAGACUCUAGCCUAGCUAUGCAAAGCGUCUGCCGGUCUGCGCGACACUUGCAUUGAAAUCCACCCUCGCGAUGACAGCCGAGCUGCCCGCCUGAGUGCCUGACCCGCCUCACACUCCUAUUCUGAAAAAAUAAUCAGACACAGUCGCUUGAAAAUAGCAAAAUUUCAUGCAGCGGCAGCGCCUUCCAGCGCCCGCCCUGAGCGCCCGAGCAAGUCACGCGACCUUUCACCGUGGUUGUCCGUGCGGUCCCGUCCCUCCAUCUUACAGGGGAUCACGUCAUAUCCACAGCAAGUUACGGGACAUCACCCAAACAAUUGACACGCGCGAGCGCCCACUCCAACGCUUCCGCGGCCGCUCAGCACCGGUC